rnacentral:tRNA from 1 species
ACUUGAAGGUCUAGUGGUAAGGAUUCCUGGCUCUCACCCAGGCGGCCCGGGUUCGAUUCCCGGCAUGGGAAGUUUGGGUU